rnacentral:rRNA from 1 species
GUAAGGAAUAUUGGUCAAUGGACGGAAGUCUGAACCAGCCAUGCCGCGUGAAGGAUGAAGGUCCUCUGGAUUGUAAACUUCUUUUAUAGGGGGCGAAAAAGGGCCAUUCUUGGUCAACUGACGGUACCCUAUGAAUAAGCACCGGCUAACUCCGUGCCAGCAGCCGCGGUAAUACGGAGGGUGCAAGCGUUAUCCGGAUUUACUGGGUUUAAAGGGAGCGUAGGCGGGUAUGUAAGUCAGUGGUGAAAGCCCUCAGCUUAACUGAGGAAUUGCCGUUGAUACUAUAUAUCUUGAAUAUCGUUGAGGUUUGCGGAAUAGGUCAUGUAGCGGUGAAAUGCUUAGAUAUGACCUGGAACACCUAUUGCGAAGGCAGCAGGCUAAACGAUGAUUGACGCUGAGGCUCGAAAGCGUGGGGAUCAAACAGGAUUAGAAACCCGUGUAGUCC